GAUAAUGUAACAAAAUUUUUAUACUAAAUAUGUAUAUUAAGGUAUUGCAGAAUUAAUGACAUCAUAUAUAAUACCAAGUUACAAAAGACCUUUGGCAUAACCUAAAACUAAACCACCAUCAUCUCUGCAUAUCUAGCAAGAGCGAAACGACAGUGAAUUCGAAAGGUAGUGGUGGUUGUGGUGGCGGAGACGCCGAAAGCUACCGCUUUCUUUCUCGAUCUGCCACCGGAGAUGAACGAACUCGUCUACCGAACAUGGCAGCUUGAGGGGGCCAGAAACGUGGUAUCCGUAGACCUCGUGUGCUCUGUCAAGAAGUUGUCGAAACAGUGGAUUGUAAAGAUACGAAAUCGGUAUGACGAAUCUUGAGGCCUCGAGUUCCUCCUCUAGGCCGACUUGGACCGCGAUGCAUCCUUUCUUCACUUCCAUCUUUUUUUCCAUUUGAUGAUGGGUGUUUAGGUCGGAUAGUUUGAGUGUGGGAGUGAGAGAGAGAGAGUUUGUUUUGAAAUUGAAGAGAUAGGUUGGCCAUAUAUAUAGGGACUUGGACGUUGGACCGAGCCUAAUAAAGCAUAAGAAAAUAUUUUAGCUACAAAAUUCUGUACAGAAUUUUAUAUGUUAAGUUUUGAUUGAAUUUUCUAUAUAUGUUAAGUUUUCUAUGUAAUAAAAUAAAUUUUAUAUUAUAA
rnacentral:lncRNA from 1 species